UUAUGAAAUAUAAUGCCUGUGGAAGUC
rnacentral:sRNA from 1 species